GACGAACGCUGGCGGCGUGCUUAACACAUGCAAGUCGAACGGAAAGGCCCUGCUUUUGUGGGGUGCUCGAGUGGCGAACGGGUGAGUAACACGUGAGUAACCUGCCCUUGACUUUGGGAUAACUUCAGGAAACUGGGGCUAAUACCGGAUAGGAGCUCCUGCUGCAUGGUGGGGGUUGGAAAGUUUCGGCGGUUGGGGAUGGACUCGCGGCUAAUCAGCUUGUUGGUGGGGUAGUGGCUUACCAAGGCAUUGACGGGUAGCCGGCCUGAGAGGGUGACCGGCCACAUUGGGACUGAGAUACGGCCCAGACUCCUACGGGAGGCAGCAGUGGGGAAUAUUGCACAAUGGGCGGAAGCCUGAUGCAGCAACGCCGCGUGCGGGAUGACGGCCUUCGGGUUGUAAACCGCUUUCGCCUGUGACGAAGCGUGAGUGACGGUAAUGGGUAAAGAAGCACCGGCUAACUACGUG
rnacentral:rRNA from 1 species